AACGAACGCUGGCGGCAGGCCUAACACAUGCAAGUCGAGCGGACCCUUCGGGGUUAGCGGCGGACGGGUGAGUAACGCGUGGGAAUAUGCCCUUCUCUACGGAAUAGUCCUGGGAAACUGGGGGUAAUACCGUAUACGCCCUUUGGGGGAAAGAUUUAUCGGGGAAGGAUUAGCCCGCGUUGGAUUAGGUAGUUGGUGGGGUAAUGGCCUACCAAGCCGACGAUCCAUAGCUGGUUUGAGAGGAUGAUCAGCCACACUGGGACUGAGACACGGCCCAGACUCCUACGGGAGGCAGCAGUGGGGAAUCUUAGACAAUGGGGGCAACCCUGAUCUAGCCAUGCCGCGUGAGUGAUGAAGGCCUUAGGGUUGUAAAGCUCUUUCAGCUGGGAAGAUAAUGACGGUACCAGCAAGAAGCCCCGGCUAACUCCGUG
rnacentral:rRNA from 1 species